CCUACGGGUGGCAGCAGUGGGGAAUAUUGGACAAUGGGGGAAACCCUUAUCCAGCGACGCCGCGUGAGGGAAGAAGGCUUUCGGAUUUUAAACCUCUGUCAGUGGGGACGAUAAUGACGGUACCCGCGGAGGAAGCUACGGCUAACUACGUUCCAGCAGCCGCGGUAAUACGCAGGUGGCAAGCGUUGUCCGGAAUUAAUGGGUGUAAAGGGAGCGUAGGCGGGAUGUCAAGUCAGAAGUGAAAAUUAUGGGCUCAACCCAUAAACUGCUUGUGAAACUGAUAUGCUUGAGUGAAGGAGAGGUAAGCGGAAUUCGUAGUGUAGCGGUGAAAUGCGUAGAUAUUAGGAGGAACACCAGUGGCGAAGGCGGCUUGCUGGGCUUUUACUGACGCUGAGGCUCGAAAGCGUGGGGAGCAAACAGGAUUAGAUACCCCUGUAGUC
rnacentral:rRNA from 1 species